rnacentral:rRNA from 1 species
UACGUAGGGUGCGAGCGUUGUCCGGAAUUAUUGGGCGUAAAGGGCUCGUAGGCGGUCUGUUGCGUCGGGAGUGAAAACUCAGGGCUUAACCCUGAGCCUGCUUCCGAUACGGGCAGACUAGAGGUAUGCAGGAGAGUGGAAUUCCUGGUGUAGCGGUGAAAUGCGCAGAUAUCAGGAAGAACACCCGUGGCGAAAGCGGCUCUCUGGAACGGUACUGACGCUGAGACGCGAAAGCGUGGGGAGCGAACAGG